rnacentral:rRNA from 1 species
CGUGUAGGUGGUGGGUAUGUCUGAUGUGAAAGCCCUCGGCUUAACUGAGGAACUGCAUCGGAAACUACCCCGCUUGAGUGCGAGAGAGGGUGGCGGAAUUCCCAGAGUAGAGGUGAAAUUCGUAGAUACUGGGAGGAACACCGGAGGCGAAGGCGGCCACCUGGCUCGCUACUGACACUGAGACGCGAAAGCGUGGGGAUCAAACA